rnacentral:rRNA from 1 species
UAGGGAAUCUUCCGCAAUGGACGAAAGUCUGACGGAGCAACGCCGCGUGAGUGAAGAAGGAUUUCGGUUCGUAAAACUCUGUUGUUAGGGAAGAAAAAAUGUAUAGUAACUAUAUACCAAAGAGACGGUACCUAACCAGAAAGCCACGGCUAACUACGUGCCAGCAGCCGCGGUAAUACGUAGGUGGCAAGCGUUGUCCGGAAUUAUUGGGCGUAAAGCGCGCGCAGGUGGUUUAGAAAGUCUGAUGUGAAAGCCCACGGCUCAACCGUGGAGGGUCAUUGGAAACUAAUAAACUUGAGUGCAGGAGAGAAAAGUGGAAUUCCUAGUGUAGUGGUGAAAUGCGUAGAGAUUAGGAGGAACACCGGUGGCGAAAGCGGCUUUUUGGCCUGCAACUGACACUGAGGCGCGAAAGCGUGGGGAGCAAACAGG